rnacentral:rRNA from 1 species
AACAAUUGGAGGGCAAGUCUGGUGCCAGCAGCCGCGGUAAUUCCAGCUCCAAUAGCAUAUAUUAAAUUUGUUGCAGUUAAAAAAGCUCGUAGUUGGAUCUCGGAACAGGGAAUAACUGGUCUGCCGGUUGGUAUGUACUGUUGUUCCCGUUCUCUACUGAUGGAAACUUAUCUCUACUCUUAAAAUGAGCGGAGAGUAGAUCAGUAGAAUGAAUGUUGUUUUCGAACUCAUUCAUUCAAUUACUCCUACUUUUGUAAGUUCCAUCUCAUUUACUUGAAUAAAUUAGAGUGUUUAAAGCAGGCGAUUUUUGCCAUUGAAUACAUUAGCAUGGGAUAAUAGAAUAGGACUUCGGUUCUAUUUUUAUUGGUUUUUAGAACUGAAGUAAUGAUUAAUAGGAUAGUUGGGACGAUUGGUAUUUAAUUGUCAGAGGUGAAAUUC